rnacentral:rRNA from 1 species
GAUGAACGCUAGCUACAGGCUUAACACAUGCGAGUCGCGGGGCAGCAUGGGGGUUGCUUGCAAUCCCCGAUGGCGACCGGCGCACGGGUGAGUAACGCGUAUCCAACCUGCCCUUCACCACGGGAUAACCCGGCGAAAGUCGGACUAAUACCGUAUGUUGUCCAUUGACGGCAUCCGAUUUGGACGAAAGGUUUGGCGGUGAAGGAUGGGGAUGCGUCCGAUUAGCUGGACGGCGGGGUGACGGCCCACCGUGGCGACGAUCGGUAGGGGUUCUGAGAGGAAGGUCCCCCACACUGGAACUGAGACACGGUCCAGACUCCUACGGGAGGCAGCAGUGAGGAAUAUUGGUCAAUGGGCGUAAGCCUGAACCAGCCAAGUAGCGUGCAGGAUGACGGCCCUAUGGGUUGUAAACUGCUUUUAUGCGGGGAUAAAGUGGCCCACGUGUGGGUUUUUGCAGGUACCGCAUGAAUAAGGACCGGCUAAUUCCGUG